GUUACCAACCAGAUUUUCCCAGUUUGGACGUACUCCUACCUCGCACUCCUUUUCCCAGUCUUCCUGCUCACAGACUAUGUGCGUUACAAGCCUGUCCUGCUCCUCCAGGGCAUCAGCCUCAUCCUCACGUGGCUCCUGCUCCUCUUUGCACAGGGAGUGGUGGCCAUGCAAGUGAUGGAAUUCUUCUACGGGAUGGUGACAGCCACCGAGGUCGCCUAUUACGCCUAUAUCUACAGCGUGGUCAGCACUGACCACUAUCAGAGAGUCACAAGCUACUGCAGGAGCAUCACCCUGGUGGCAGCCACUGUUGCUGCUGUGCUGGGACAGCUCCUGGUGUCCUUAGCAGACGUAUCCUACUUCCACCUUAAUGUUAUUUCUUUGGCUUCCGUGUGCCUGGCGUUCCUCUGUUCGUUUUUCCUCCCCAUGCCCCAAAGGAGCAUGUUCUUCCACAGGAAAGAUGCCUCUGAAUCUCUCCCAGAACCAGAUAAACUUGAGGCUCCAGUCAGUUCUGACAGGCCCUCGAGCUGCCAAGAGGACAAGAGCUCUGACUCUGCUGGCAGGGACCCAACCCCCAAAGAGCAGCCUGGGAAUGCCAAGCCCCAGAACCACAUGCUCAGUGUGCUGGUGCAGCUGAGCAAGGACCUGAGGGAUUGCUACAGCUCUAGGAAACUUCUCUACUGGUCCCUGUGGUGGGCUCUGGCCACAGCUGGCUACAACCAGGUCGUGAAUUAUGUCCAGGUGCUGUGGGACUUCCGAGCCCCCUCCCACAGCUCUGCAGUCUACAAUGGAGCUGUCGAAGCC